rnacentral:sRNA from 1 species
UCCAAGAUCACAUUGCUUAUUAAUUAACGCCAUGUGAAAGCCAGCUGGUGUGGUCCUGAGAGGAGAAGAGAAGGUUCAGGAAGAGGAUCCAGGAGCAUAAGAUGGUUUUCAUCGGCAAUUUGUCACAGCAACAAGGAGAGUUUGCGUGGACAAGCAUCGUUUCCCAAGAUGAAGACUCAGAGACUGGUGCAGCAGUAUCCAUGCAAGACUUUGUGAAUAAAUGGGCAGACGUCUACGGUUCUUCUUUCCCGAGACAUGGCUAUGAAAUAGAAGCUUCCACUUGAUUAAGGCUGGGCAUACAAUUCGGAGACAGUUGGUCUUACUUGACUCCAAGACGUCCCCGCAAAAGAAGGAAGAGAAACAGAAGUCCCCAGAUCUGCUGUCACAAGGAACAGACGCGCAAAGAGUUAAGUGUGUAUGCUUCCACUUCGCUGGGUGGUGUUUCUCGGUUCAUCAGUCAGACAAUGUGUUUAGGGCCAGGUUUACCAAAGCUGCAAAUUUGCCCACCCAAGACAAAUGCUUAUUUUAGUAGAAUAUGUUCAUGUGUUUCCACCAUUGCACAGCUCGUUCUAAAAAUAAAAGCAUGUGAG